rnacentral:rRNA from 1 species
GAUGAACGCUGGCGGCGUGCCUAAUACAUGCAAGUCGAGCGAACAGAUGAGGAGCUUGCUCCUCUGACGUUAGCGGCGGACGGGUGAGUAACACGUGGAUAACCUACCUAUAAGACUGGGAUAACUUCGGGAAACCGGAGCUAAUACCGGGUAAUAUAUUGAACCGCAUGGUUCAAUAGUGAAAGACGGUUUUGCUGUCACUUAUAGAUGGAUCCGCGCCGCAUUAGCUAGUUGGUAAGGUAACGGCUUACCAAGGCAACGAUGCGUAGCCGACCUGAGAGGGUGAUCGGCCACACUGGAACUGAGACACGGUCCAGACUCCUACGGGAGGCAGCAGUAGGGAAUCUUCCGCAAUGGGCGAAAGCCUGACGGAGCAACGCCGCGUGAGUGAUGAAGGUCUUCGGAUCGUAAAACUCUGUUAUUAGGGAAGAACAAAUGUGUAAGUAACUAUGCACGUCUUGACGGUACCCAAUCAGAAAGCCACGGCUAACUACGUG